rnacentral:misc_RNA from 1 species
UAAUAAGUGUUUUAUGGCACUUUUUAAAUCCAUAUCCACCUUGUGUGCAAUGUCAGUCGAUCUUCUUCAUGGAGAUCGACCAAACAUCAACCUUUAUUUUUUAACUCUUUGUCUGAAAAAUAUUAUGAAUAAACAAUUCAAAAU